GCGGAGGAAAAGAAAAUAACAAUGAUUUCCCCAGUAACGGCGAGUGAAGAGGAAAGAGCUCAAAGUUGGAACCUGUUUGGCUUAGCUAAACCGGAUUGUAAACUGUAGAAACGUUUUCCUGAUACGCCAGACAAAUAAGUCCUUUGGAACAGGGCAUCAUAGAGGGUGAGAAUCCCGUCUUUGGUCUGAGCUGUUGUCUUUUGCGAUACGUUUUCAAAGAGUCAGGUUGUUUGGGAAUGCAGCCUAAAUUGGGUGGUAAAUCUCACCUAAAGCUAAAUAUUUGCGAGAGACCGAUAGCGAACAAGUACCGUGAGGGAAAGAUGAAAAGAACUUUGAAAAGAGAGUUAAACAGUAUGUGAAAUUGUUAAAAGGGAACCGUUUGGAGCCAGACUGGCUUGAUUGUAAUCAAUCUAGGUUUCGACCUGGAUGCACUUGCAGUCUAUGCCUGCCAACGACAGUUCUUUCUGAAGGAUAAAACUAAGAGGAAUGUGGCCCCUCGGGGUGUUAUAGCCUUUUAGAUAAUACUUUGGAUGGGACUGAGGAACGCAGUGAAUGCUUAUGGCGAGAUUGCUAGGCGCUUUUGUUAUAUAUGUCAGAAUUUCUGCUUCGGGUGGUGCUGAUGUGUAAAGAUGAAACUCGCUUGGUUAAUUUUCUAUUCACUUAGGUUGUUGGCUUAAUGACU
rnacentral:rRNA from 1 species